rnacentral:rRNA from 1 species
CCUACGGGAGGCAGCAGUGAGGAAUAUUGGUCAAUGGACGAGAGUCUGAACCAGCGAAGUAGCGUGAAGGAUGACUGCCCUAUGGGUUGAAAACUUCUUUUAUAUGGGAAUAAAACGUUCCACGUGUGGGAUUUUGUACGUACCAUAUGAAUAAGGAUCGGCUAACCACGUGCCAGCAGCCGCGGUAAUACGGAGGAUCCGAGCGUUAUCCGGAUUUAUUGGGUUUAAAGGGAGCGUAGGUGGAUUGUUAAGUCAGUUGUGAAAGUUUGCGGCUCAACCGUAAAAUUGCAGUUGAAACUGGCAGUCUUGAGUACAGGAGAGGUGGGCGGAAUUCGUGGUGUAGCGGUGAAAUGCGUAGAUAUCACGAAGAACUCCAGUUGCGAAGGCAGUUCACUGGACUGCAACUGACACUGAGGCUCGAAAGUGUGGGUAUCAAACAGGAUUAGAUACCCCAGUAGUC